AUAAAUAUUUGGCGUUGGGUUUAAAUUUUCUAAGGACCAUUAUGUGGUCCCCUUUCAUAGCAGUUAUAAUAUGAUUAACAAAUGUAAACCCUACAGAGUGCGAGGGAGACAGAGAGAGAAAAGAGUCAUUGUCAAUAGCUGUAAGAGGACCAAAACCUACCAUUAAAUACUCUCUCUUUGGCACAGUGAAAGAAAAGAGACAUUGAACUGCGGCACAGGCAUUCAUUCAUAUGGAUCAGUGGAGAUAAGAGGAUCACGAGACCCUUCUUUUAAUUACUCCAACCAUGCAUGGCCUCUUCCCUUUUUGCUAAUUUCUAUGUAUCAACAUAUCAAGAUAUCACAGGAUUUUCCAUCCUUCAAUGGAGUUUCUUCUCUUUUCACAAGUAUGUUGGUUUGAGAGGUUAAAGCUGCCAGCAUGAUCUGGUAAUCACCACACUCUUUUCCCUCAUCUCAUGCCUCAUUUGAAAAUCCAUAUCUACUCAUUUUUUGGUUCAAAUUCAAGGUUUCUUUCUGGUGUCAAUCACUUCUGAAAAAAAAAAAAGAAAAGGUUUUAACUUUACCUGGCUUGUUCUUCUGCUUGAUUUUCUUCAUAUUCUACAAAAGGGUCUUGUUAUAAACUGGAAUUGAUCCUUAAAGGAAACCUACCAAAAAGGAAAUUUUUUUGUUGUUAUGAGAUGUGGUUCCAUCAGGUCAUCUUGCAGCUUCAAUCACUCAAUAACCAACAGAGUAGUUUCUUCUGCUACUUUUUCAACCACAGUCUCCAUUUCAGACAUUGCCUCGUGAGAUGUGCUGCUUACUCCAAAUUAUUGUAAUGAAAAAUUAUUGAAUGAAUGAAACACUGCAACCAGCGAAAAGUCUGUUUAUACUAAUUUAGGAUCAUUUUAUUUUUUUA